GAUGAAGAACGCAGUGAAAUGCGAUAAGUAAUGUGAAUUGCAGAAUCUCGUGAAUCAUCGAAUCUUUGAACGCACAUUGCGCCCUAUGGGAUUCUGUAGGGCAUGCCUGUCUGAGCGUCAGCAGCAAAAAAAUCAAAAUCUUUGUAGGUAAAGAUUUGGAUUUGGUUAAGAGAUGUAAUCUGUAAAGAACCGGUUACUCUUUUGAAAUUUAAAGGCAGUAUUGAUCAAUCCAACUGUAAACGUGAUAAAACAUUUCGUUUUAUUGUUAGGAAUGAGCUUUUUGCUUGCCUAUAAACCCACUCAUCUUCAUGGGUGACCUCAGAUCAGGUAGGGAUACCCGCUGAACUUAAGCAUAUCAAUAAGCGGAGGA
rnacentral:misc_RNA from 1 species